GUCAGGAUGGCCGAGUCGUCUAAGGGCUGCGUUCGGGUUGCAGUCUCCCCUGGAGGUGUGGGUUCGAAACCCACUCCUGACA
rnacentral:tRNA from 1 species